rnacentral:tRNA from 2 species
GCGGGAAUAGCUCAGUUGGUAGAGCGCCACCUUGCCAAGGUGGAGGGCGCGGGUUCGACCCCCGUUUCCCGCUCCA